rnacentral:rRNA from 1 species
UGGCGGCGUGCCUAAUACAUGCAAGUCGAACGAACUUCCGUUAAUUGAUUAUGACGUACUUGUACUGAUUGAGAUUUUAACACGAAGUGAGUGGCGAACGGGUGAGUAACACGUGGGUAACCUGCCCAGAAGUAGGGGAUAACACCUGGAAACAGAUGCUAAUACCGUAUAACAGAGAAAACCGCAUGGUUUUCUUUUAAAAGAUGGCUCUGCUAUCACUUCUGGAUGGACCCGCGGCGUAUUAGCUAGUUGGUGAGGUAAAGGCUCACCAAGGCAGUGAUACGUAGCCGACCUGAGAGGGUAAUCGGCCACAUUGGGACUGAGACACGGCCCAGACUCCUACGGGAGGCAGCAGUAGGGAAUCUUCCACAAUGGACGCAAGUCUGAUGGAGCAACGCCGCGUGAGUGAAGAAGGGUUUCGGCUCGUAAAGCUCUGUUGUUAAAGAAGAACGUGGGUAAGAGUAACUGUUUACCCAGUGACGGUAUUUAACCAGAAAGCCACGGCUAACUACGUGCCAGCAGCCGCGGUAAUACGUAGGUGGCAAGCGUUAUCCGGAUUUAUUGGGCGUAAAGCGAGCGCAGGCGGUCUUUUAAGUCUAAUGUGAAAGCCUUCGGCUCAACCGAAGAAGUGCAUUGGAAACUGGGAGACUUGAGUGCAGAAGAGGACAGUGGAACUCCAUGUGUAGCGGUGAAAUGCGUAGAUAUAUGGAAGAACACCAGUGGCGAAGGCGGCUGUCUGGUCUGCAACUGACGCUGAGGCUCGAAAGCAUGGGUAGCGAACAGGAUUAGAUACCCUGGUAGUCCAUGCCGUAAACGAUGAUUACUAAGUGUUGGAGGGUUUCCGCCCUUCAGUGCUGCAGCUAACGCAUUAAGUAAUCCGCCUGGGGAGUACGACCGCAAGGUUGAAACUCAAAAGAAUUGACGGGGGCCCGCACAAGCGGUGGAGCAUGUGGUUUAAUUCGAAGCUACGCGAAGAACCUUACCAGGUCUUGACAUCUUCUGACAGUCUAAGAGAUUAGAGGUUCCCUUCGGGGACAGAAUGACAGGUGGUGCAUGGUUGUCGUCAGCUCGUGUCGUGAGAUGUUGGGUUAAGUCCCGCAACGAGCGCAACCCUUAUUACUAGUUGCCAGCAUUAAGUUGGGCACUCUAGUGAGACUGCCGGUGACAAACCGGAGGAAGGUGGGGACGACGUCAAAUCAUCAUGCCCCUUAUGACCUGGGCUACACACGUGCUACAAUGGAUGGUACAACGAGUCGCGAAACCGCGAGGUUAAGCUAAUCUCUUAAAACCAUUCUCAGUUCGGACUGUAGGCUGCAACUCGCCUACACGAAGUCGGAAUCGCUAGUAAUCGCGGAUCAGCAUGCCGCGGUGAAUAC